GGGGGUGACAGGUUUCGACAUUGUGAGCAGAGGCAGGAGAAGCGAGCCGAGGAAGCCGACGUCGUCUCGAGAAUCGGUCGUCGGAAAACCAAUAAGCGCCAACACUAACGUGAAGCGCGACUUCGCUCUCGCCGCCUAGGCGAGACGCGGGUCUGUCGGACUGGGAGUGCCCAUGGCCCAGUAUCCGGCAUCAGUUAAUGGGCUGGCCAAUUUAGCCCCGUCGGGGGGCUAAUGCGGCGAGAUUAAUCCCGACUGGGCCCGUCACACCGACUUGCUUGCGUGAUCGGAGGGGCCGAGUAGAGGCACAGCAAGCUGCGCUCGGAGAAGCCCUGGCAAAGCCGCGAUGGACCCGGGUUCGAUUCCCGGCACCUCCACCA
rnacentral:tmRNA from 1 species